GAUGAACGCUGGCGGCGUGCCUAAUACAUGCAAGUAGAACGCUGAAGGAAGGAGCUUGCUCUUUCCGGAUGAGUUGCGAACGGGUGAGUAACGCGUAGGUAACCUGCCUGGUAGCGGGGGAUAACUAUUGGAAACGAUAGCUAAUACCGCAUAACAGUAGAUGUUGCAUGACUACUAUUUGAAAGGGGCAAUUGCUCCACUACCAGAUGGACCUGCGUUGUAUUAGCUAGUUGGUGAGGUAACGGCUCACCAAGGCGACGAUACAUAGCCGACCUGAGAGGGUGAUCGGCCACGCUGGGACUGAGACACGGCCCAGACUCCUACGGGAGGCAGCAGUAGGGAAUCUUCGGCAAUGGACGGAAGUCUGACCGAGCAACGCCGCGUGAGUGAAGAAGGGUGUCGGAUCGUAAAGCUCUGUUGUAAGAGAAGAACGAGUGUGAGAGUGGAAAGUUCACACUGUGACGGUAUCUUACCAGAAAGGGACGGCUAACUACGUG
rnacentral:rRNA from 1 species